CUUGCAGGGUACUCGAGUGGCGAACGGGUGAGUAACACGUGGGUGAUCUGCCCUGCACUUCGGGAUAAGCUUGGGAAACUGGGUCUAAUACCGGAUAGGAACCAUCUUUAGUGUGGUGGUUGGAAAGUUUUUUCGGUGUAGGAUUAGCUCGCGGCCUAUCAGCUUGUUGGUGGGGUAAUGGCCUACCAAGGCGGCGACGGGUAGCCGGCCUGAGAGGGUGUACGGCCACACUGGAACUGAGACACGGUCCAG
rnacentral:rRNA from 1 species